CCAAGGAGACACUGUAGGCCUCAGGGACAGGCUUUGCAAGUAAAGCAUACAGAAACAAGAGGAGGGCUACGUGUUCUAAUCACUGUUUCUAACAACUAGACAUCCAAGCACCGUAGAAUCAAGCCUCUGCAGUGUUUGCCAGCUGUCUAAUCCUCCUGAAGUGGAUAAAAGGAGAUUUACAUUGCUUCUUGAACUACUCUAAAUGCUGGAUUUAUGAGACCCAGACUCACAAAGGGGGCAAAUGAGAAAGCAGUUCCCUCGGCAUGCUUCCAGGAGGGCUGGUGAGGAAUGGGACAGAAGCUAGCAAAGAGCUUCCGAAUUGUCUUCA